GAUGAAGAACGUAGUGAAAUGCGAUAAGUAAUGUGAAUUGCAGAAUUCAGUGAAUCAUCGAAUCUUUGAACGCACCUUGCGCCCUUUGGCAUUCCGAAGGGCAUGCCUGUUUGAGUAUCAUGAACACCUCAACUCUUCAUGGUUUUCCAUGAUGAGCUUGGACUUUGGGGGUCUUGCUGGCCUGCGGUCGGCUCCUCUCAAAUGAAUCAGCUUACCAGUGUUUGGUGGGCAUCACAGGUGUGAUAACUAUGUGCGCUUGUGGUUUUCCACCAAGUAACCUUCAGCAGUGGAGGUUCACUGGAGCUCACAGACGUCUCUCCUCAGUGAGGACAGCCCUUUGAAUGUUUGAUCUCAGAUCAGGUAGGACUACCCGCUGAACUUAAGCAUAUCAAUAAGCGGAGGA
rnacentral:misc_RNA from 1 species